rnacentral:rRNA from 1 species
UACGUAGGGUGCGAGCGUUGUCCGGAAUCAUUGGGCGUAAAGGGCGCGUAGGUGGCCCGGUCAGUCAGUGGUGAAAGCGCGGGGCUCAACUCCGCGUCGGCCAUUGAUACUGCUGGGCUUGAGCACUGUAGAGGCAGGCGGAAUUCCGGGUGUAGCGGUGGAAUGCGUAGAGAUCCGGAAGAACACCGGUGGCGAAGGCGGCCUGCUGGGCAGUAGCUGACACUGAGGCGCGACAGCGUGGGGAGCAAACAGG